CCAUAAAACAGAACGGUGCACGGCGCAUGCCAUAACUUUAGCAGACUUGUCGGUCGCGCAUAGGUUCUUCUCGAAAGCAAUUCGGUGCCGAGGUACUAUCUGCCUGUCAAAACUAAGUCCCUGACUUUGAGUGUAGUGGACAACGUCUAAAAAACAUCUAAAAUACUAAGUUAACUAACCAACUACGUGCUGUCAUUAAACUGAUGGGUUUUCCCAUCAUCGACCCAAUCGAACGCAAUGUCCCUCUGGCUGAUACUCGGGACCAUGAUUGGAUGCAUUGUGGCUGCCGUGCAUUGUCAUCGGUUCUGCAGAACGAAAAGCGGAAUGUUUCGCUGCGAACCAUACAUCGAUGAUAAUCUGGACAUUCCCCUGACGUUUGACGUGGACACCAUUCCUGACACGGACAACGUGACGAAACUGGUAUUUUACUGCGACAAAGCUUUCGAGCGGGAACCCCGUCAGCACUACUGCACGCUGCUGCGGAACGAGCACCGCAGUCUUCCAGCCAGGAGACACAUAACCCGAAUAUCUCUGCACGGGUUUUUCGGAGAGAACGACCAACGACCUCCGUUUAAACAUUUCUUACAGCACAUGCAAAAUACCACUGAGGAGGUGACCAUCCAGGGCAGCAAGAUCGGCUAUCUGGAUGCGGAUUUCUUCCAUCCUUUCCAGAAAUUGCGCAGUCUCGAUUUAUUCAUGAACGAUAUCUACGAUAUCGCGAUUGACUCGUUCCAGCCGCUGCAACCGGCAGCUGCCGACGGGACUUUGGACCUGCAAGGAAAUGCUUUACAAGAGCUGGAUUUGGCUGUGUUCAGACCGCUGGCGUCCUGGCUGAGCGUCUUGCAGCUGAACAAACAACGUCCGCAAAUGCGGAAGCUCCAUAUAAGCGGGCCGCGCUUCGAGUUUCCCGUUUUAUCAGCCUUUUCGCUUACAGCUAACGCCGUUACAUUGUCUCCUGAAACAUUUAACUCCAUGCCACAAAUCCACAACCUGGAGCUGUAUGGCAACGACAUUUGCGACGUUUGUGACUGUUCAUGCUGCGAAGCGCAGCCGUUCCUUCAGCGUCUGUCCAAUUUAACCGGCUCCGGCCUCCGCUCUGAACUGCAGUGUGGUGGGAUGCAGCAUUACGAUCCCGGAACCUAUCGCGCCGAUUAUUCGCCCCUCCUCAAAUCCUCUCCUUGUCCCCGGUGUGUGCAGCCGGAUCCGGUCGAUAUCCUGUGCCGAAACGGCUCCUUCUCGUCAUCAGACCCAAAUCUGGAAGACACCGAUGCUCUCCUGAUCCGCUUCACAGGGGACGGCGCACCGCAGUGCACCAGCACCUUCCAUGACCUUUAUCAAACCAUCCUGGAUCUGGGCAACGCGACACACCCCGAACCCGGAUCUUCAGCCGCCGUAACCCUCUUCUGUCGCGCUAAUCGGACUUCUGUCUGGGGUGCGGACAUAAGCAUUAAGAACCCGUUAAAGGUCAUCGUUGACACGGAUCUCAGUCCGCACUGCCAUGAUGUUCGUGUGCGAUUUUUGAACGCGACCCGGCUUCACAUUUCGAAGGAGGCCAUCGACCGUAUCGCACCGUCUAUCAUCUCAAUUCAAACCUGGAUCAAGGACCAUUUGGUGUGUCCGCUCGGUGCCCCGCUAUUUGUCAACUGCACCAACGGAACAGUUGUUUCCUACCCGGCUCCGUUAAACCUGACAAAGUCCACUAUCCUCCAUAUUCGUAGCGACCUGUCGCUUGUGUGCCAGGAUUUUGUUAAAGGUUGUCAUAAAUAUUUGCUGGAAGCAGAAGGAGUCACGGUGCAGGAUUACGCUGCGGACAGCGCUUCACAAGACGCGGUUGUGGCUGUUUGCCAGCGUGGUCGUAUUAUCCUGUCGGGAGCCAGUCCGAAGCGGCAUUUGACGUACUACGCAGCGCCGAACGAUCCCUGCCAACGACACUACCGGGCGUUUCUCAACCACAUUCAACCGAACACCACCUACCUCACUUGAAAUGACAGGAAAAUAAAAUAAAAGAAAUCGUUCAAGCCAAUCCACUGCGGCGAAUCCAUGCACAAAAUGUGGAAAUCGGUGCUAUUUGUUACUCUGCUACUGGCGAGCGCCGUCCAUGCCGGGCUUCUGGAGCGACUGCGGCGUCGGGAUGUCGGCACGGCGCAGGGAGGGGCAGUUGUUAGUCCCGGGGUACUUUCCGGAAAUUUGAUGCAAGUCCCGGUGCAUGUUCCCGUCAAUAUCUGUGGGAAUACCGUGGAUGCUGCGAUCGCGCUAAAUCCGGUGUUCGACUGCGCUAAUAAAGUCCAGGGUUCCCUGCAUGUUCCCUCGCCGGCUGAUGGAUAGGCAGUACGAACUGAUGACGAACUGUACUGUCGAAGUUUGGAUCCCCCGCACAUGUGUUACGACAUCAUGGGAAUGCUGUCAGAAAUACCUAUGUACGCUCCCCUAUCAGGAUAGCAUAGAGGAAGUUUUUCUGUUAGUAAGUUUGUACUUAUUCUACGAUACUUAUUAAAGGUUGUGCUUCCUAUGUGAUACUUUCUGUGCUUAUGUAACAUUGCUUUGAUAGCUGCUCUCCUACGUUAUAAUCUUAAGAGGCAAAACUCUUACUAAGACGUUGCCAUAAUAUAUAUUAUGUCUUAGCCGUACGACCUGGGAAUGCGAUUAAUGCGUUCUCUAAUAAUUACAAUUUUUAUUCGACACCAGUCAGCUUACAGAUCAGAUGGGCUAGCACAGGUUUACACUACUUAAAAUGAUCAGAAUUUAAACAUUGAAAAAACAUCCAAAAUCGUUAGUCCCAUUAGUGAUCUUGGGGCGUGCAGUCAAAAUGCGUUCUCUUGAUAAAAUCCGCCAACUCCGCAUGCCGGUCCUGUACCUGCUUUUGAGUUUCUACUCAAAUCUGUUGAUCCGUCUUAAGUGCUAUAAUAGCGUAAGACUGUUUUCUUUUUCGACCAGUCCUUCGGGGUUGUCUGCUCUCGUGCCGUAAUAAUAAUAACAAUAAAAAAUGAAACAUAAAA